rnacentral:rRNA from 1 species
ACUCAAAUGAAUUGACGGGGGCCCGCACAAGCGGUGGAGCAUGUGGUUUAAUACGUCACUAACCGUAGAACCUUACCAGGGCUUGACAUGUGAGGCACCGGGGUGAAAGCCUCGUUCCCGGAAACGGGACCUCAACACAGGUGUUGCAUGGCUGUCGUCAGCUCGUGUCGUGAGAUGUUGGGUUAAGUCCCGCAACGAGCGCAACCCUCAUCCCAUGUUGCCAGCGGGUGAUGCCGGGGACUCUUGGGAAACUGCCGGGGUAACUCGGAGGAAGGUGAGGAUGACGUCAAGUCAGCAUGGCCCUUACGCCCUGGGCUACACACAUGCUACAAUGGACGGAAGACAGAGCGACCCGAAGCCGCGAGGGGGAGGCAAUCGCCAAAUCCGUUCUCAGUUCGGAUUGCAGGCUGCAACUCGCCUGCAUGAAGUCGGAAUCGCUAGUAACCGCAGAUCAGCGAAGCUGCGGUGAAUACGUUCCCGGGCCUUGCACACACCGCCCGU